rnacentral:rRNA from 1 species
AUGGACAUGGGUAGCCAUCUCCUCCUCACCGUUGUUGUUAGCCUCCAUGCAUUUAUGCACACUGCCAGCAGCGACGAAUUCAUCUUCAACGGCUUCUCCGAGGAAAAUCUAAAGCUGAGUGGUCAAGCUUCUAUGGUAGGCCGUGCUAUAAGGCUCAUCGGUGGCGUCACCCUGACAGAAGGGGAUGCUUUCUACAGCAGGCCCCUCGAUUUCAGUAGUAACUCCGGUGGUGGUGGAGCCUCCUUCUCAACAACUUUCGUGUUCGCCAUCAACUCUGACACCACCGAAGCUCCUGGCAUAGCCUUCGUGCUCUCUUCCACCAUGGAGCUGCAACAUCUGCACAACAACUCAUUGGUUCAGGGCCAGCUGGGUUUCGCUGAUGUAGGAGGUAACAGCCCUAACUCAUGUGAGCAAUUCUUAUUUAUAGUCGAGCUCAACUACAUCUACAAUGGCCGUGUGGUGAUUGAUGUCAAAAACUUAGUCUCCGUUAACCAUACCACCAGCUCAUAUAGGGCCAACAGCAUAUUCGAAAGCAUCAAACUUAGCAGUGCCAACCCAAUGCAAGUGUGGAUACACUACAAUGGCACAGAGCAAAAGCUAAAUGUAACCUUAGAAGAACUUGGUGAUCAGGUAGAAUAG